AUGUGCCAGAACCUGACUUUUAUUUCGUCUAACUUUUGGUGGGGAGAAGCUAAUGGGAAGAGGAGGGUGCACUGGCUUGCAUGGAAAAAGAUGUGUAGGGCGAAGCGAGAAGGAGGAAUGGGCUUUCGGGAUCCAGAGGCGUUUAACCAAGCUCUGCUUGCCAAACAAGCUUGGCGAGUGCUGCAGUGCCCAGGUUCAUUGUGUGCUAGGGUGCUCAAGCCAAGGUAUUCCCCCCAGGGAUCGAUUUUGAAUGCCACUUGCCCUACGUGUGGCUCGUUCACUUUCAGAAGCAUUAUACAUGGGCGUGAGCUACUGCGUGAAGGAUUAGUGUGGAGGAUUGGGGAUGGCACAUCCAUAAAAAUCCACCAUGACAACUGGCUCCCGCGCCAGGGCAGCCUUAAGCCACUUGGGCAGCAGCACAUUGCAGGUAUCACUCAUGUGCGCCACCUCCUGGAUGAAUCAGGUGUUGCGUGGGCCAUGAACAAAGUGGAGAGGAUGUUUACUCCCGGGGAUGCUGAGGAUACAAAGCAUGUUGUGAUUGGCGGACCGAACAUGAGGGACUACAUGGCGUGGAACUUCACCAACAAUGGACUAUUUUCAGUCAAGUCGGCAUAUCACCUAUGUAUGAGUUUAAGUGGCGUCAAGACCGGACAGCCAGGUUCUUCGAUGCCAAGCAGGGAGCAUAAAUCGUGGCUGGCUCUGUGGGACACUAAUGCUCCGGGGAAGGCGAAGAUUCAUGCAUGGCGAGUGUUGAAGAACGGGCUGGCUGUCGGCACGGAGCUGCAUAGGCGUCGGAUAAAGCCGGGAGUGAUCUGUUGCGCCUGUUGUCGCGAGGAGACCACGUACCACCGAUUCUGGGCGUGCCCCCAUUCAGUGCUGUUUUGA
rnacentral:rRNA from 1 species